ACUUCCUGGAAGACCUCUGCGUACCCCUGGUUGAGAACCACUGAGCUAUUCUGACCAUCACUCCCUUUAGGGGUCUUCAAAAAGAGAUUUCAGGAAAAGCUAGCUCCGGUGAAUGCUGGCUGGCUGAAAAACAAGAGAAGAGGAAGGAAGAAACUUCACCAUCAUGGCUGCCAUCCCCACUGUCUCCUGGGUCCCCAGACCUCCUUUAUUCUAAUUCUGAGAAAUGUCUGAUCAGGACAUCAGUUCCAAAGAGGGGGAACCAGAUGACAUUGCCACUGCCACUUGCUGAAUCCCAAACACCACCUGAGAUAUGACUUUGUUGUCUCCCCUCCUUGGGUGUUCUUUUCCUUCACCACUUUAUUUCUUCUCUUUCCUAGCCCUCCUUUUUCCUUCUGUGUAAUACAGAAUCUUGGCUGGCUAAGCAGAUGCUUAUUUUGCAACACUGCUGUAAGCCUGUGACCAGAAGAAGGCAGCUAAAAGCAAUACCUCGGACAGCCUGAUGCUGGUACAAGUAUGUCAGGUCUCUGAGCAGCUGAAAACACUGUGCCACACCUGUGGUUUUUUUCCAGCAGUGAGAUUUACAACUAGGAUGAUACUGAUUGACGUUACUAAAAUCGAGACACCCAGAAAGAGAGAGUGCAUUUAAAAUUUUGGGGAAAAGUGGACAAAACAGAGCACAUAAUACACAACAUAGCACGACAAAAGAAAAGUAUACAAGGACUUGAAAAAUUUACCAGACCUCUAAUAGCCGGAAGACUUAACAAAGCUGAGAGGUCCCUCUGUCUAGGGACAAUGCCUACAGGAGAAGGCAAAGUCUGACCACCCCCACACCAAAGCUGCUGGGAUUCCUACUAAAGUUAACAAACAGUGAACCUGAAACACCUGACAAGAGGACCAAUCAGGAGACAAGAUACUUGCAAAUCUCGGUGGAGGGAAGCUCUUGUUUUGGGCUGUUUCGCAGGGUUUUUGUUCUCUCUGGGUUCUGAGAGGGACCAGACAUGUAAGCAGAUAUCUCCAAAUUUCUGAAAC